AGACUACUCCCUGAAUUUAAGCAUAUUAUUAAGGGAAGGAAAGAAAAUAACUAUGAUACCCGCAGUAAUGGCGAAUGAAGUGGGUAAAGCUCAAGCUUAAAAUCUAGUCUCUUUUGAGAUUCGAAUUGUAGUGUAAAUUAACAUUAAUAUGGUCAUGAUAAUUGCCUAAGUGUGAACAUCUGAAUUUCCUAUCAAAGACGGUGAUAAUCCGGUAUGGUAGUUUGAUUGGCUAAAUAUUCUUGUUAUUUAAAGAGUCGAGUUGUUUGGGAUUGCAACUCUAAUAAAGGUGAUAGAUUUCAUCUAAAGCUAAAUAUAUUAGGAAAACCGAUAGCAAAGAGGUACUGUGAAGGAAAGGUGAAAAGAACUUUGAAAAGAGAGUUAAAAGUGCUUGAAAUUGUUAAAAGGGAAGCGAAUGAAAAGAAU
rnacentral:rRNA from 1 species